UUUGAUGUUGCUACUUUUUAAUCACAUCAUGUGUUGUAGUUUAGAAUGUUUAGAAUGUGAUACUUGCAUAAUUUUUGCAAACGUUUUGUUGUCAUCAGAACUUCGUUUUUAUUAUCACAGUGUUUUACCAUUACGCUCGCCUGGGGUGUAUUCAUCACGGAGAUUGUUUACCGUUUAAGAACCAAAUGGAUGCAAAUAGAGCAAACGGAACGAAACUGGGCGGGAUUUACCAGAAUUUGUCCAAUAGAAACUCUCGUUUGCGUUUUCCGUUUGGAGUUAACGAUUUCUGUUGCAAAACGUUUUGUAGCAACAGAAUCGGCGUAAUGAUUACACCCCUGAUUCAUGUGGGGUUGUUGUAAUGUUUGCGCCAGGAGUUGCCUAAACAUUUUUAGAAAACGAGACAGUAAAACUGAUAGAAGUGUCUCUUUUGGUAAAGUUGACAACCUCGGGAGUUUGGACAGCAUGAUGCGAACCAGUCCUCUGGUGAGAUGUUCCCUCCUUUGCCAGUGAUGCAAGAGAGGUUAUAGCUUUAAACAAAGCAAAAUGCACAUUAGUGAUACAAACCCCCAAAAGGCAGGUUUAUGGAAACAGUUGUGGCAAACCUUUGGCCAAUUUGUCACAUUUGCUGCAUACUCAUAUUUUCACAUUUUAAAUUAGCUUUGUGGCAAUCUGUUGUAACUUGCGAACUACUGGCAAACAAUUCUGGGAAACUUGUGGAGAACAUUUUGCAAAUUUGCUGCAAACUCCGUAUGAAUAUGCAAAUUAGACCCGGUUUUGGUUACUUUGUGUUAACAACAUUGAAAUGUUUUAUCUACAUUAACCAAAUCACAUAACUUAGUUCUCAAGAGAAAAAAACGUAAAUAUAAAAUGUGGUAAAUAUACUGAACAUUUGAACAAUAAUCAGCAGCAUGGUAAUGAAGAAAAGAGCAAAGACUGGAUAUUUCUCAAAUAAAUGGUUUAGUUAAUGUUUUUAUGUAGCUUACAUUAGACAAAUGGGAAAACUUUGGGGGUGUUGACCUUAGGAUGUUUAAAGGUGCAACUACAUAAAUAUGUACAUGAGCCAAGUGAUAACUGAGCAAUAGACUUCAACCAUUGGAAGUUUAAAAGAUAAUUAACAAUGUUAUGAAUUAAAAACAAAAACAAACCCAGUUCAGAACUAUUGCCUUUUUAGCGAACUUUGGAGAUGGCAGCCCUGUGGAAGCCCUUUGUCCAACGCUUGUUGAAUGCAUGCACUGAAACAAUCAGAAAACAUAAAACUAACUAAAUCAGGACACUGAAAGCAAUUAAUUUAGCUGACACAUUUUUGUUUCCCUACCAUCCCAGCCCCUCCCUUUCCUACACACAAUCAGGGUACAGUGUUGAAUUUUAAAUAAUUAAUUUGUUUUGUCUGCAUUUCAGAAAAUAGAGAAUUGUCCACAAUGUACAAUAAUAUAUAUAUUUUUUAAAUAGCACGUUGAAACAAAGCCCUAUUGUCUAAGUAUGUGUUAUUUCAUAAGAUGACAAUCAAUCAUAUCUUAUGAAAUCUUAAAAUGUAUGUAUAUUAUUUCAUGAACAAAACAGUCCAAACAGCUGAACUUGAUGUGCACACUCAGAUUGCAAUCUGAUAAAAACAAAGCAUGUGUGUGUGUUACACUGUCCUAAGUGGUAUCAACACAGAUCUGUCUAUCAGACUGUGCCAGAGCAAAUCCAUAGAUAUUCACAUUCACUGACACACUUCAGCUACAGUAUCUUAGGUGACAGCACACAUAAUGAUCUAUAUUUGGGUAGAGUCAAAACAUUUUUACACAGUUAACAAGUGUAAAAUAUUACGUUUGAAGGUCACUCUACUAAGGACAUGGACUAAUGACUGUCAUUACUUAUAAAGCACUUUUCACAAUUUCUAAAAUGUCGCAUUUCUAUUUAAAAUAAAUAUUUGUGAUAGGAUGAAAGGGUAGAGGAAUGUGCUUCAGCCCAGCUUGAACAAAAAAUGUCAUUAUAUAUGUUAAUCAUACACAUGUUUAAAGAUAUUAAAACAAAGGGGAUACCUAGUCAGUUGCACAAGUGAAUGCAUUCCGCAUUUAACCCAACCACUCUGAAUCAGAGAGACACUCAUGGCUCAUCCAUUCAUUGAGUUAGUCACACUAUGAAAUGCUACCAAAUAAACCAAAAUUCAUUCAUAAUACUGUGAAUAUAUAGUUUCACAGACAUAUUGUUAUUUUUUUUCUGGUUUGUCGGAAAUCAUUAAGAAUAAUAUAAAACCAGUCUGCACACCACCAAGGUGAACUGGUUUAGUUUUGACUCUUGGUUGACAGUGUUGGGGAUGGGUAAUGAUUUGAUGCUCAGUGCCAAAUCAACACAACUGGAUAAGAAGAGGUCUAAGCCAUCAGGUGCCCAGUUUAGGAAAAAGAGGAAAGAAGAGGAGAAACGCUCAAAAGAUUAAAAGGGGCACUUCUGAAAUAUUUUGGAGCACCCUCUGGCACUGGCCAGGAUGAGAAGCCAUGUACCUCCUCAGCCACACAGGCCUCUUCAGAAAUGAUCUCGGGGCCUCAGGAUGAGGAACCAUCCACCUCCUCAGCCACACAGGUGUCUUCACAAAUGUUGUCUGAGCCUGAGGAUGAGGAUGAAGACCCAUUCACUUCCACUUCUCCCCAGAAGGAUUCUUCAGAAAUGCCUGUAGCAGCAUCCCCACCAAAUUCUGCUGCUGAGGAUGAUUCACUGUCUACAGACCCUGCUGACAGGCCUUCAGUUCUGACUGACAGAAUUCGGACACAACUAGUUUGCAGAGGACCAAGUGAGGAUGGCAGCACACUUCCAGUGACCGUAGCUGAAGCAGAGAGGAGCUUUUCAAAGCUCAUCAAAUUCUACCUGAGGUCCACCAUGUCACAGGAAUGCCUUAGUGGCCUUGCUGUCAUUAGUAUUAACCAUGCAAUUGCUGGGCAGAUUUCUUAUGAUUAUGUAAUUGAUGACUUUGCAUCAAGGAAGGCAAGAAAGGUCAGGGUUUAGAUGGCAGUUGUGCAAUUUAGUUUGUUUCUUGUUUGAAGUGCAAUACACAGGUUCUCUUCUUUAUAAGUGUGUUAUUCUAGUUGUGUAUUUGUGUGAUAUAGGAUUCGUGCGAUUUAGUUUUAUUUGUGGUUUUUGUGCGCAAUAGGGAAAUAGUGUAAUAAUUUGAUUCUAACUUUUAUUUGUAUUUAUAUACUACAUUUUGUUUCUAUUUGUCUUUGUUAUGAUUAUUUAUUUGUGUUCCAAAUGUCUGAAUAAAAAUUACAGUUAGUGCAGAA